CCCGACCUUAGCUCAGUUGGUAGAGCGGAGGACUGUAGUUGGUAACAUGCCAAAUAGCCAUCCUUAGGUCACUGGUUCGAAUCCGGUAGGUCGGAU
rnacentral:tRNA from 1 species